CCACUACCAACUCCUUUCAUGUCAAGUGGGAUGAAGUGUCUACAGUUGAGGGCUAUCUUUUGCAGUUGAGUACAGACUUGCCAUACCAAGCUGCAUCAUCAGAUUCUUCAGCAGCACCAAAUAUGCAAGGAGUCAGGAUGGACCCUCACAGACAAGGCAGUAAUAACAUCGUUCCUAACAGUAUCAAUGAUACAAUAAACAGCACAAAAACUGAACAGCCAGCCACAAAAGAAACUUCAAUGAAAAACAAACCAGACUUUAAAGCACUGACGGAUUCUAAUGCCAUUUUAUAUCCAUCUUUGGCAUCAAAUGCUUCUAAUCAUAAUAGUCAUGUGGUGGAUAUGCUAAGGAAAAAUGAAGGUCCUCACACUUCAGCAAAUGUAGGUGUUCUAAGUAGUUGCCUGGAUGUAAGAACAGUAAUUCCUGAAACAUCUGUAUCCAGUACUGUUUCCAGCACACAAACUAUGGUAACCCAGCAGACCAUUAAAACUGAAUCAUCCAGUACAAAUGGGGCAGUUGUUAAAGAUGAAACUUCACUAACAACAUUCAGUACCAAAUCUGAAGUUGAUGAAACAUAUGCACUGCCUGCAACGAAGAUCAGCCGUGUAGAGACACAUGCUACAGCAACGCCGUUUUCUAAAGAGACUCCUUCAAAUCCAGUGGCCACAGUGAAAGCGGGAGAACGACAAUGGUGUGAUGUGGGAAUUUUUAAAAAUAAUACAGCUUUGGUGAGCCAGUUUUAUUUGCUGCCAAAAGGGAAGCAAAGCAUCUCAAAGGUAGGAAAUGCAGAUGUACCUGACUACAGCUUGCUUAAGAAACAAGAUCUUGUUCCAGGCACAGGAUACAGAUUCAGGGUUGCUGCAAUCAAUGGUUGUGGGAUAGGUCCUUUCAGCAAAAUCAGUGAAUUUAAAACUUGUAUUCCUGGUUUUCCUGGAGCUCCUUCUGCAGUCAGAAUUUCAAAGAAUGUUGAAGGUAUCCACCUUUCCUGGGAACCUCCAACCUCACCUUCUGGAAAUAUUUUGGAAUAUUCAGCCUACUUGGCUAUCCGCACAGCACAGAUACAAGAUAAUCCAAGUCAACUUGUGUUCAUGAGGAUUUAUUGUGGUCUUAAGACAUCAUGUAUAGUAACUGCUGGGCAACUUGCAAAUGCACAUAUUGAUUAUACAUCCAGGCCUGCCAUUGUGUUCAGGAUAUCAGCAAAGAAUGAAAAGGGAUAUGGACCAGCUACACAAGUUCGGUGGCUUCAAGGUAACAAUAAGAAAGCACCUUUAAAUUGAAUUGGUUUUUUUACUGAAGCUAUUGUGAUGAUGAUUAUUUAUUAGUAACUGGUUAUGAAGAUUUGUCAUUUAAAAGAGUAUUCUCUGGCUGUAUUUCCAGCAGUUAUGAACUUGAGUUUGUAAAUUGUUCUUAAAAUGUAUUUGCUGAAUUAUAGAUCCAAAUAAAAGAAAAGAA
rnacentral:lncRNA from 1 species